CCUACGGGUGGCAGCAGUGGGGAAUAUUGGACAAUGGGCGAAAGCCUGAUCCAGCCAUGCCGCGUGUGUGAAGAAGGCCUUCGGGUUGUAAAGCACUUUCAGUGGGGAAGAAAGCCUUGGGGCUAAUACCCUCGAGGAAGGACAUCACCCACAGAAGAAGCACCGGCUAACUCCGUGCCAGCAGCCGCGGUAAUACGGAGGGUGCGAGCGUUAAUCGGAAUUACUGGGCGUAAAGCGCGCGUAGGCGGUCUGAUAAGCCGGUUGUGAAAGCCCCGGGCUCAACCUGGGAACGGCAUCCGGAACUGUCAGGCUAGAGUGCAGGAGAGGAAGGUAGAAUUCCCGGUGUAGCGGUGAAAUGCGUAGAGAUCGGGAGGAAUACCAGUGGCGAAGGCGGCCUUCUGGACUGACACUGACGCUGACGUGCGAAAGCGUGGGUAGCAAACAGGAUUAGAUACCCCUGUAGUC
rnacentral:rRNA from 1 species